rnacentral:piRNA from 1 species
UCUAUGGAGCCCAACAGAAACUGUCCACUGU